rnacentral:rRNA from 1 species
UACGAAGGGGGCUAGCGUUGCUCGGAAUCACUGGGCGUAAAGGGUGCGUAGGCGGGUCUUUAAGUCAGGGGUGAAAUCCUGGAGCUCAACUCCAGAACUGCCUUUGAUACUGAAGAUCUUGAGUUCGGGAGAGGUGAGUGGAACUGCGAGUGUAGAGGUGAAAUUCGUAGAUAUUCGCAAGAACACCAGUGGCGAAGGCGGCCAUCUGGACCAACACUGACACUGAGGCACAAAAGCGUGGGGAGCAAACAGG